rnacentral:sRNA from 17 species
GGAUAACCUUGUUAGGUGAGGCUCCUAUACAAACAUAAGCUAUUGCGCAGAAACGUCGAAAGACGCCAAUGUGUAAAACAGGAAUUGUCGGAUUAAGGCUCUUCAUAAAAUAGCUAAGAAGAAAUAAAUACUACUAAUUUGCUUCUUCUUUACGUUGUAUAGUGCCAAAACUCGGACGAUGAGAUUGCUU